AAGUCGUAACAAGGUCUCCGUUGGUGAACCAGCGGAGGGAUCAUUAGCGAGUUAUAAACUCCCAACCCUCGUGAACCUACCUAUUGUUGCUUCGGCGGGGCAUCCCAGUACCUGGGGUGCUGCCCCCUCCAGGGGGGGCGCCCGCCGGUGCACGCAACCAAAACUCUGUUUUACGGUGUAUUCUGAGUAAUUACAAAUAAGUUAAAACUUUCAGCAACGGAUCUCUUGGUUCUG
rnacentral:misc_RNA from 1 species